rnacentral:rRNA from 1 species
AAUAAUGUAGCGUAAUCAAUAGCCAAUUAAUUGUUGGCCGGUAUGAAUGGCGUCACGAAGGCCCCACUGUCUUAAGAGGACUCUCCAUGAAAUUGAAUUCGUAGUGAAGAUGCUACGUCCAUAUUGUAAGACGAAAAGACCCCAUUGAGCUUUACUAAAGACUUGCAUGGCUCAAAAUAAUUUAAUUUAAAUAAAAAGUUUAGAUAAUGUGGCAUCCGUUUCCGGCUAAUGAAGCASCACUCUUUUAUUUUAAGAGAGCUAACAUCGCAGGGAUAAUGUAAGUUGGAUAGUUAUGGUUGGGGCGACCACCGUUUUAAAAUGUAACGGAAGGUGAGCUUAAGGUCCGUACUUAAUAACCCAGUGGCCUGACUGCMAGGGGAAACCUCUCRRGCCGNACAUGUCCUUAGGRAUGUGGGGCUNUAGUGAMCCCCUCAUCUUUAGCRUGNAAUUKUUGACGUCMCANANAAAA